GAAAAAUCGAGGUGAGAUAAACGUUCCCUCAUAGCACACUGCAUGAUGUAUAUCCAUUUCCAUUAUCCCGGCAGGUGGAUAAGGUUGAUGAUUGCUUGGAGAUGGAAGUAAAAGAUGAUCUACUGAAGGAUACCAGUACCAACCACCGUGUAUUUCGUCGCCCAGUUUUACUCAUCGCCAUCUUAAUUAUAGCAGUCGCCAUCUUUAUUUUGUGUCCCUUUCUACAGCUGGCCACAGAAUCUCACAAAGAGUCGUCAAGUGAGGAUAAUGACACGUGGAUUACGGAACGAAGAGACGCGGGAAUGACGGGUAAUUUUGUGCAGAUAGACAAUUUGUGGGAUGGGCAGCCGCUUUAGAAUUGCCCGUUAAAAAAGUUAUUUUAAACCUGAUAAACACAAUUUCCUAUCUCUUUAUAAUACAGUGCUCGACAAUCUGUGACGAAAUCGCGCAAUUUCGAUCUAAGCAGCUAAUAACUGUGAAACGAAAUCCCCUUUUGCGCAGCGAACCCUUUAAUUAAGAACCUAUAUAUCAAACACUGAUCUGUCAUUAAUAGAGGAUUAAGUGUUAACUUUUUUCUGACGAUAAAUUAUAGUGUGUGGUUGAUCUUUGUCAAAACUUAUCUGUUUAAAAUCCGACAAUAAAUUAGGACUUGAGCAUCAUGUCGGAUAGAUUAUUGGUAAACGCAUAAAGUGCGAGGCCCCCCACCCAUUUGUGAUUUCAGCUGACAGUAGUGUGUUACACCAGUGUAUAUAAAACAAGGAUGAUGUAUGGUCAAUGUCAACUCUGUUACCAACACAGAAUUAUGGCGAUGAUAAAACCUCAUGUCUUCAUUGGUUACGGUCUCCGACUAGUAAUCCACUGCCAUUGACUUCAAUGUUAAAUUUAUGUCAUGGUAUUGAACAUUCUGAUGAUCUUGCUCUUUUAUAAUUUAUAACCCCAAAGAGCCCAAUGCUGACUGGGGUUGACCAUCUCGAUUUUUUGCUACGACUGUAUAAAUGAACCUAUAGCCUGUGACGUCAUUUAUGUAUGUGAUUUCUGUAAUCGUUUACUUCCUGGUCCGUUCGCCUCCAAAGUCAUAACUAAUUACAAAAACCUCCAGGAGAACCAACGUCCUAUACGUUGCCACCGGAAAAGCCAGGAAGUGGGGACUAAGGAAGUAAGUCUGUCUUCGUGCUCACAGGCAAAUCGACAUAAUUUCAAAACAAGUUCCCGCAAAUUGAAUAGCAUAAUUUAUGACAUAUCAUUAUUGAGGCGAUGUUUAUUAAUUUCAAAUUCUUUUUCGUAUUUUGUAAUAUAUUCUUUUGUUAUUCAGAUAAACCCUAAGAAACACAUUUCAUUGAUAUUGAAUCUCCCGUUUGUAUAUUUACGAAUCGAAUCCCCCUUUUGAUUGGGUUGAGAAGUAUUUCAUUGAUAUUGAAUCGUCUGUUUGAAUAGGUUUGAAUUAUACGGUGCACAAUUAAUCCAUUGAUAUUGAAUUGCACUAUCGAAUAUUUUCGAAUAAUGGGUUGUAAAAAAAAUCAGACACGAGAUGAUCGCAAUCCUUAUAGUGUUAUUGUUUGUUUUCAUUUCAUUUACAUUAAUCGAAACAAUUAGUUAUGUGAAUAAACAUUCAUUGGAGAGGACAUUUCUGUUAUUCGGGAAUCCAUGUCAUUAUUUAGAUUUUAUCUCACACCCAUUUAAUGGUUACAAAACCCGGAAGAAGACUUUAAAUUUAAUUUCUAAUCACUUUGAUUGUAAAGUCAACUUUACUGACCGGUGUUUCUUUGAAUUUAUUAAAAUUAUUAUAUUUAAAAACUGUGUUUUAAAUUAACUUCUAUUUAUUAUCUAGCAUUAAAAUAGUUUCAAAACA